rnacentral:rRNA from 1 species
UACGUAGGGUGCAGGCGUUAAUCGGAAUUACUGGGCGUAAAGCGUGCGCAGGCGGUUUCUUAAGUCAGAUGUGAAAGCCCCGGGCUUAACCUGGGAACUGCGUUUGAAACUGGGAGACUUGAGUGUGGCAGAGGGGGGUGGAAUUCCACGUGUAGCAGUGAAAUGCGUAGAGAUGUGGAGGAACACCAAUGGCGAAGGCAGCCUUCUGGGCCAACACUGACGCUCAUGCACGAAAGCGUGGGGAGCAAACAGG